UAUUGGAUUGUACUGACUCUCUCACUCUUCCUUCCCCAUGUACUGUCAAGAGGAGCUUGCCAUCAGCAUGGCACAGAGACAGUAAAUUUGUCUCCAGAGACUGACUCUACCCCGUAAGGCCCAUGCCAACCAAGGCCAGGUUGUUUGCAGGUGGCCUGCUUUGUCGAACCUUUAGUCCCCUCCAGCACAAGUGCCCCACACUGACAUCCCAUCAGAUACAAGAAUGUCAACACAAGGUUAUAGAAAUCCAUGUAAUUCACACAAAACAACACGUUAAACUUUCAACUUGCGUAAAGGAUCAGAUGAUCCCAUUGUAUCCCACAAUUCCAUUUCCACCACUUACGGCGGCCUGAAGAGCAGGUUGUCUUUCCUGGUCUGAACUGGCCCAAGGCUACUGCCAUGGCAGGACCCUUCUGCCAGCUCCAUGGGGUUUGUGUUUCAGGCUCAGCUGCCCUGUGAGGUGCAGCCUGUUCUGUUACAACUUGUGUUACAACGUUGCUUAGUUCACAAAUAACUGGUAAAAGGUAGAAUGUUAUCAGUGUGCCAUGCAAGUUAGUUUGGUUCAUCUGUAAGUUUUCCUAGGCAGGGGGAAGUGGAAUAGUGGGAGCAGAAUUGAAAACUUCAACAGGACAAACACAUACACACACACUCACACACAACCCAAAACUCUCAGUAGGGUGUUGCAUAGGCAGGAGCCUUUUUAGAUGUGUAUUAGGCAAAUUUAAAAUGAGACAUGAGCACAUGCCUCGGGCUGCCCCCAGGGGAGGUCGCUGAAGCUCCAGGACUGCAGUUGGUUGUGCUUCCUCCUGUACACCUGUAAUGGCUACCCCGCUGGCUCAGAGCUCUGCCUCACCGCCCUGCCCCAGCACCUGCAAGCCAGUGUGCCACUUUUUUGAUGUUGUAUGUUUUUAAUAUUCCCUGAGACAGACUCCAGAGUUCUGAGUUUCUUACUUGGGGUGUCAAAUUAUAUUCCAGGAACCAAUUUGGGUUUUCCUGGCUUCUGGUUAAAAAGCUGGACAGAUUUUGAGUUGUUUGCUCUUAUUUCUCUCAUAAACUGCACUAUUUUGUAGAACACAAGAUUUUUCAGGAAGUAUACUGAAAGGCCUGUACUUAGUUGUGUGUUUUUCUUUCAGCCACACUCAGAUCUUCCCCUUCUGGUAUGUUCUCAGCUGGAGACACUGCUCCCCGCAUUGUCCCAAAGUUUGAAAGGUGGGGGCUGAGGAGAGAAGGGGAGUAGUCAGGCAGUUUCUAGCAGUUACCUCCCCACAUUGCCACCUAGAACCUCAUCUGCCUCCCUCUACACCCCAAGCUCCAGGAAGGCAAAGACCAAAUCUUUGGACUCCAUAUCCUUUGUGCCUGGAGAAAAGCUUGGACUUGGUGUUGGAAUGUUACUUUGAGUUGUCUUUGACAGGUAUCAGAAAGCCACAUGCCCUCCCCAUGGAAGCAGGACCAGAAUUAGACUGCAGGACUUUAGAGACAAACCCCAUGAAGCUCCAAGGGGUUCAUUCUAACUCAACUGAGCAAAUUAACCACUUCUCCAGUUAGAUCUUCUAAUAACUUUUGUUGGGUUUUUCUCCUGCAGUUAGGGAAUAGCAAAGUCUUCACUACCAAAAAAUAAAAUAAAAAGUACAAUGAUGCAGUAAUGUCAUUUG
rnacentral:lncRNA from 10 species